rnacentral:pre_miRNA from 1 species
AGGAGGAACAACCACGGUGGCGGCGGCAGCUUGGAAACCUGGAUUCAGCCCCCACAGGAACUCUGAAGCACUCCGCCUGCAGGGCCUGGCGGCUCCGGGGCGGG